rnacentral:rRNA from 1 species
AUUGAACGCUGGCGGCAGGCUUAACACAUGCAAGUCGAGCGAGCGGCGGACGGGUGAGUAAUGUCUGGGAAACUGCCUGAUGGCGGGGGAUAACUACUGGAAACGGUAGCUAAUACCGCAUACUAUCAGAUGUGCCCAGAUGGGAUUAGCUAGUAGGUGGGGUAAUGGCUCACCUAGGCGACGAUCCCUAGCUGGUCUGAGAGGAUGACCACCCAAACUGGAACUGAGACACGGUCCAGACUCCAACGGAGGGCAGCGUUGGGGAAGAUUGAACAAGGGGCGCAAGCCUGAUGCAGCCAUGCCGGGUAUGUGAAGAGGGCCUUCGGGUUGUAAAGCACUUUCAGCGAGGAGGCGUUACUCGCAGAAGAAGAACCGGCUAACUCCGUGCCAGCCGCCGCGUAAUUC